UACGUAGGGUGCAAGCGUUAAUCGGAAUUACUGGGCGUAAAGCGUGCGCAGGCGGUUUUGUAAGUCUGUCGUGAAAUCCCCGGGCUCAACCUGGGAAUUGCGAUGGAGACUGCAAGGCUAGAAUCUGGCAGAGGGGGGGUAGAAUUCCACGUGUGAGCAGUGAAAUGCGUAGAGAUGUGGAGGAACACCGAUGGCGAAGGCAGCCCCCCUGGGUCAAGAUUGACGCUCAUGCACGAAAGCGUGGGGAGCAA
rnacentral:rRNA from 1 species